CUGUACUUGCCUAAUGCCAUCACUGGGGCAGGACACUUUCAAAAAUACUCUACACAUUUGGGGGUCUGCUCCCUGGUCUGAGAUGUCCUAUCCUGAGUGAUGCAGGUGGGGAACUGCUGAGGAAUGGAGAGGCAUUGAGAUGUCCUGGCUCCCUUACCCACAUCCUUGCAACUGUAUCCUGAAUAACAUUUCCAACACAGGCUGCUGAAGCUGCUGGCCUGGGCAUUGGCCUGCAGCACCCUAGAAGGCACCUCAAAGGGCCUUCCAUGUCUGGCGCACAGGCAAGCAGCAGCAGACCUGGAGAAAGGCGGUUCCACUAGGUGUUUCCUGCCUUCAUCUAGGCAGAAUUUGGAACAGCAAGACGGGGAAAAAAAAAAAAAAAAUCAAGGCAGGACCCUCACCUCUCAGAUUGCGAAUGAAGUCCUCCAGCAUCAUCUUCCUGUCAGGCUUGAUGUUGGGGCUGUACAUGUCCGUGUUGAGGAGGAUGAUUGCAAAGGCCAAGAUGAAGAUGGUGUCUGGGUUGUGAAACUGCUGGACCACAUCUGGGUUACACAUGCAGUACCUUUGGCUGCAGCAGGAGGGAUGCACCAACAUGGAACAUUAACAUACUUAACACAAUUAACAAGGAACAUGGGAGCACUCUGCUCCAGCUUGACAAUGACUUUAUCACAAGUGGAUCAAAUUCCUCCUUUCACUCCACCUCUCACACAAAUGCGAAGGAACUGACUGCUCUUUGAAGGCAAAUUUCCCCACCAAUGGCUGAAAUAGGCCACUGAAACUUCAGCCUUGUCCUCAGGAACCAAAAAAGCAAGUGAGACUGGAGAGGACUACUCAGAGUGCGUCAGUGCACAAGAGUAAUACAAGAGGUGUCUGCUCCAGCCUGCCUUGCUAAGCACAAAGCACUCCUCUGGAUGCACCAAGGGAGCAACCCAGCCCCCCUGCAAGCCCCUCUGCUGCUCCUCCCGUGGGUCACCAGUGAAGAGGGAAUCCCUUGCUGGCAGCCAUGUCAGGACUGGCCUCAUGCUGGCCCCUUGUACCCUUCAUGCCACUGAGCAUCUGACAAGGCCACACCUGUGACACAGCAGUGCCACAGAGAACUCCAUCCUUCAGGAGCCCCUCCAUGAUCCCCCUCUUUGGAAGGGAAGUCCCUGGCCCUUCUCUCCAUGACUGCUGGCUUUUUGCCCUGGGUGUGUUGUGUUCCCUGCUUCCCUUGGUUGCAGCAGUGGGGCUGCAGGGCUUCUUCUCUUACCUGAAGGACUCCUCUUACCUGAAAGCCUCGAUGAGCCGCUCCACCUUCUGCGCCUCCCCCUGCACGCGGAUGUGGGCCUGGAAUUUCCGCAGGGCUUCAUCCAGCUCCAUGCCUGAGAAGUCCAUCUCGUCCACCACACAGCUGUGAGAGGGGGACACAGCCUUCAUCAGAACAUCCUCACGUGGGUGACACCAAGCUCCUUCACUGUGGUACCAAGGCCCAGUCCCCAAGGGCAAUCCCAUGGGAAAGGCCCUGGGACAUCACUAUGGCUUCCUGGAUUCUGCUUACAACGGGCAGUGAUUUCACACAAGUGAUUCCUGCAUUCUACAGCUGAAAGAGAAGACAACACAGGCUUGACAGACAGGAGACCUGCUCACCCGCACGGAGAAUGUCUCCAGCAGCAACUUCCACACUCUAACACCAACCAGACCCCAACUCAGCACAAUGUCUCCUCUGCUGGAAUCCCUGCCCAUUUCUCCUCUGACAGUAAGUGCACCAGGACAGCCACAUCUGCACUUCCAAGUCCCACGAGCCGAACACAAACCAUCCAGUACCAGCAGCACAGCUGACUCCAUUCAUGAAAUCACUCACAUUAUCUUGUUCAUGAAUGAACUAUAAAUGGAAGCAAUUCCUGAGUCAGGAACAGGAGGGGAAGAAUGGACUAAAGUGAAGGAAAGUAUGAAGGAAAGAGAACAAAAGCAACAAAUAAACACAGAAUGAAGAAAGGAUGCAAGAACGAUGAUGUGUCUCAUAUUAAAACUGUGUUAAUGCCUUGGGCCUGACUUUUUCAAAGCAACAAAAUUAUUUUUCUGCAGUACUUGACAAAUAGAUUUGAUUAAAACUGCUCAGUACCACAUAGGUGCUUUAACAGGUUGGGCUACCUCUCUCCAGCUGUAUUCCCUGGACUGGAAGACACUGAAACCCUGGGGUAGGUCACCAGUGACUCCUCCUAGCUGGCAGCAGGGCAGGUUGUAGAAGGA